UUUGAGAGGAAAGGGAAACAGGUUAAUAUUCCUGUGCCAUCUAAAUACGCGUGGCAACACUAGGUUAGUUUCCGACGCUUCUGGGUAGGCUGAGUGUUCUUGUCUGGGCAUUCAAGCUUAUAAGUCCGGGGAGAGUUGUAAUAACGAGAACCGGAUGAAAGAGUGAUGAGCUNUCCGUUAGGAGGGUUCGGCCGAUCUCUGGAGCCCGUGAAAAGGGAACUAACNAGGAUUUU
rnacentral:rRNA from 1 species